rnacentral:rRNA from 1 species
UACGGGAGGCAGCAGUGGGGAAUAUUGCACAAUGGGCGCAAGCCUGAUGCAGCCAUGCCGCGUGUAUGAAGAAGGCCUUCGGGUUGUAAAGUACUUUCAGUCGUGAGGAAGGUGUUAAGGUUAAUAACCUUAGCAAUUGACGUUAGCGACAGAAGAAGCACCGGCUAACUCCGUGCCAGCAGCCGCGGUAAUACGGAGGGUGCGAGCGUUAAUCGGAAUUACUGGGCGUAAAGGGCACGCAGGCGGUUAAUUAAGUUGGAUGUGAAAUCCCCGGGCUUAACCUGGGAAUGGCAUUCAAGACUGGUUAGCUAGAGUCUUGUAGAGGGGGUAGAAUUCCAUGUGUAGCGGUGAAAUGCGUAGAGAUGUGGAGGAAUACCGGUGGCGAAGGCGGCCCCUGGACAAGGGACUGACGCUCAUGUGCGAAAGCGUGGGGAGCGAAACAGGGAUUAGAUACC